rnacentral:rRNA from 1 species
GACGAACGCUGGCGGCGUGCUUAACACAUGCAAGUCGAACGGAAAGGCCCUGCUUUUGUGGGGUGCUCGAGUGGCGAACGGGUGAGUAACACGUGAGUAACCUGCCCUUGACUGUGGGAUGACUUCAGGAAACUGGGGCUACUACCGGAUAGGAGCGCCUGCUGCAUGGGGGGGGUUGGAAAGUUUCGGCGGGUGGGGAUGGACUCGGGGGUAAUCAGCUUGUUGGUCGGGUAGUUGCUUACCAACGCAUGGACGGGUAGCCGGCCUGGGAGGGUGACCGGCCACAUUGGGCCUGAGAGACGGCCCAGUCUGCUACGGGAGGCAGCAGUGGGGAAUAUGGCACAAUGGGCGGACGCCUGAUGCAGAAACGCUGCGUGCGGGAUGACGGCCUUCUGGUUGUAAACCGCUUUAGCCUGUGACGAAGCGUGAGUGACGGUAAUGGGUAAAGAAGCACCGGCUAACUACGUG